AUUGAACGCUGGCGGCAGGCCUAACACAUGCAAGUCGAGCGGAUGAAGGGAGCUUGCUCCUGGAUUCAGCGGCGGACGGGUGAGUAAUGCCUAGGAAUCUGCCUGGUAGUGGGGGAUAACGUCCGGAAACGGGCGCUAAUACCGCAUACGUCCUGAGGGAGAAAGUGGGGGAUCUUCGGACCUCACGCUAUCAGAUGAGCCUAGGUCGGAUUAGCUAGUUGGUGGGGUAAAGGCCUACCAAGGCGACGAUCCGUAACUGGUCUGAGAGGAUGAUCAGUCACACUGGAAGUGAGACACGGACCAGACUCCUAAGGGAGGCAGCAGUGGGGAAUAUUGGACAAUGGGCGAAAGCCUGAUCCAGCCAUGCCGAGUGUGUGAAGAAGGUCUUCGGAUUGUAAAGCACUUUAAGUUGGGAGGAAGGGCAGUAAGUUAAUACCUUGCUGUUUUGACGUUAACAACAGAAUAAGCACCGGCUAACUUCGUG
rnacentral:rRNA from 1 species